AGCGAACGCUGGCGGCAGGCCUAACACAUGCAAGUCGAGCGCCCAGCAAUGGGAGCGGCAGACGGGAGAGUAACACGUGGGAACGUGCCUUUUGGUUCGGAAUAACUCAGGGAAACUUGAGCUAAUACCGGAUAAGCCCUUACGGGGAAAGAUUUAUUGCCAAAAGAGCGGCCCGCGUCCGAUUAGCUAGUUGGUGAGGUAAUGGCUCACCAAGGCGACGAUCGGUAGCUGGUCGAGAGGAUGACCAGCCUCAUUGGGACUGAGACACGGCCCAAACUCCUACGGAGGCAGCAGUGGGAAUAUUGGACAAUGGGCGCAAGCCUGAUCCAGCCAUGCCGCGUGAGUGAUGAAGG
rnacentral:rRNA from 1 species